AGAGUUUGAUCCUGGCUCAGAAUGAACGCUGGCGGCGUGCCUAACACAUGCAAGUCGAAUGUGCCGCAAGGUGCAUGGCAGACGGGUGAGUAACGCGUAGGGAAUCUACCUUUUAGUGGGGAAUAACGCUCCGAAAGGAGUGGUAAUACCGCAUGAGACCGUAGUCUGGGAUGACUACGGUGAAACCUGGGGACCGCAAGGCCUGGGGCUAAAAGAGGAUCCUGCGUCUGAUUAGCUAGUUGGCGGGGUAAUGGCCCACCAAGGCGACGAUCCGUAACUGGUCUGAGAGGAUGAUCAGUCACACUGGAACUGAGACACGGUCCAGACUCCUACGGGAGGCAGCAGUGGGGAAUAUUGGACAAUGGGCGAAAGCCUGAUCCAGCCAUGCCGUGUGUGUGAAGAAGGUCUUCGGAUUGUAAAGCACUUUAAGUUGGGAGGAAGGGUAGUAACUUAAUACGUUGCUACUUUGACGUUACCGACAGAAUAAGCACCGGCUAACUUCGUGCCAGCAGCCGCGGUAAUACGAAGGGUGCAAGCGUUAAUCGGAAUUACUGGGCGUAAAGCGCGCGUAGGUGGUUCAGUAAGUUGGAAGUGAAAUCCCCGGGCUCAACCUGGGAACUGCUUUCAAAACUGCUGAGCUAGAGUACGGUAGAGGGUGGUGGAAUUUCCUGUGUAGCGGUGAAAUGCGUAGAUAUAGGAAGGAACACCAGUGGCGAAGGCGACCACCUGGACUGAUACUGACGCUGAGGUGCGAAAGCGUGGGGAGCAAACAGGAUUAGAUACCCUGGUAGUCC
rnacentral:rRNA from 1 species